AAUAUCCUGCAAAGAAACAAAAUACACCCAGCCCCAGCAAAUCAACUGCUGAACCUAUGGAUAUAGGUUUUAUAAAGGGACCAUUAACCCCUGAGGAGAAGAUCCGACGAAGGGCUAAUAACCUCUGCUUAUACUGUGCUUCAGACAAACACACUGUCAGGGACUGUCCUUCCCUCCUGAAACAAAACAAGGUGGGAGUCACGUCGAAUCAACGCUCCCGCGAUUAUUGACUCAGGAGCUACAGCCUCCUACAUAGAUACUGUAUUCACUAAAUUCAAUAAAAUUCCACUUGUGCAAAAAA